GUCUCCUGUUCUGCCUUCAUCCUUUCUCUUUGUAGGGGAUAGUCUGUUCUUGUUCUUCCAGGACGUUGUUCUCAAAUAACUCCCAGUGCUCACAAGCUCCUUUGCCCUCCUUGCAUGCUUCAUAUUGAAUUUGGCUCUUCUAAAAUCCAGAAUCUUUGUCCUAUAGCUGGUCUUCAGUGUGCUCAAAAGGCUCUUAAACUUCAGUGUUAGGAUUUCUAUAUCCAAGGCUACUAUUGGUAGUUGUGUUGUCAAGUUCACAGUUUGCAGGCAGUAAACCUAGUUCACCUUUGGCAUGUCCAGCAUGUGUAGCAGGAAGCAGUCCUUAAUGCAUUCCAGGAACCUGGUGGAGGAUCUGUGCACUGCUGCGUUGUGUUCCCAACAAGUGUCCGGGUAAUUGAAGUUACCCUUGAAGAUAAGGUUUUGUUGUCCUGAGACGUCUUUGAGCAGCGGAAGUAAGGCUUCAUUGGCCUCGUUGUCCUGACUGGGAGUUCAUUAACAGACAUCUAACAUAAUCUAAUAAAUGGUGAAAAAGCCACCUUGGAAACCCCAACAUUUUCUCAGAAACGUCAGCGCACUCUAGACAUGCUGAUCCGCUCUUUAUACCAGGACCUGAUGCCUGAUCUACACAAGAACAUGCUUAAUAGAAGGUCUUUCAGUGAUGUGUUGCCAGAGUCCCCGAAAUCAACACGGAAAAAAGAAGAAGCUCGGCAAGCAGAAUUUGUCCGACUCGGUCAGGUGGGAUCAAUUUAGCAAGGAUGCAUCUAUGUUUACAAAGACUUAGGUUAUGUUUACAUCACUUCAUAGGCAUACUGGAUUUUGGUGUGCUGUAAAUACUAGCAAUGAAGAUAUAUAAGAUACUUUAAACAGCUUUAUUCUCUAUCUGAGUGGAACUGUGUUUAUAUGGUAUUUCGCUAGAGUGUUUAGCCCUUUUAGAAUCAGCACACUUUUUACGUAGCUGAAGAAUUCAUGAUACUGUGACCAUGUGUCUUUUGGCACCAUCCCUGUAGCAGUAUGUAUCUAUAUAGUUUGAUUUAGUGAUUUGCUAAAUGCUUUUGCAGGUGAAAGGCCAGCUUAUGUAACUGAUAAAAGGUUCCUCUGAUCAGCUGACCUACAGAAAGAAUUGUGUA